AAGCAAAUAAUUCCCCUUCUGCUUUCUUCCGUACUGUUUUCAUAUAUCGCUCCCCUAACCAACUUAGUGACGAAACGGCCUCACCUAGUACCAUAGACCCGUCUUGAUACACACUAGGCAACUGGCAACUUUGGUCGGACCAACUUUUUCGAUUCAACUCAGCAUGUCGAGUCGCGCGCGAUUUGUGUCGGCAACCUUUUCGUUCAAUUGCUGUUGACGUUUUGAUUUCUGCGUUCAUUGAAUUUCAAUAUCUGUCAGUGGUGAUGCAAAACAGUGUUUACAAUAUUGGCGCAUCUGUUUCUAUGAACGAACGAGAUGAAAUGCCAUCAAUAUGCAAGUUCUCUUGAUAUACCGUCCGGGAAGAGUGCUGAAUUGGUCAAGGAUGCGUAUAAUAUUGGAGAUUGAGCAAGAAGCGCAGAAUCCGCUGGAUGUGUUUUUUCCAAGUUAACAGCAAUUGUUGCUAUCUGUUGUUAUCAGCGAGCCGAAAUAAGUAUGUUAGAUAGCCUAAGAUUGGAUAAUUCUGGUCAGAUUUCCCGGGAAACCGUUAUCAUCCCUGAUUCUCGAUUGUACCAUGUGCGAAGGUGCGGUCUGCGAAUAUGUGACCCCUAGGAGAAUUUUUCAUAUUUAGCGUUAGUGUAUACAUAAAUCAUUCUUUAGAAGAAUUGUUGAAAAUUUUUCUGUUUUCUUUAUAUAAUUCUUUUCGGCUGUAUUCUUAUUUCAAUGAUUUUUUUAUGUUUGUAAUUAUUGUUUGCUGGUUUGUGGUAUUACUCCAACGAAAAAUAAAUAUAUACAUCAAUUUUUUAGAAA